ensembl:snRNA U6 U6 spliceosomal RNA
GUGCUCACUUCAGCGCCACAUAUACAAAAAUUAGAAUGGUACAGAGAAGAUUAGCAUGGCCCCUGUGCAAGGAUGACAGGCAAAUUCGUGACAAAUUGAAUUAAAGA